AAUCCCCACAACUGUCCAACAGAGUCUAUUUCAUACUGAUUCUACAGGUAAGAAAAAUAAAAUUUAGGAGGUUAGGUAGUUGAUAAAUGGAGGAGUUGGUAAUUUGAUCUAAAUUGGUCUGGAUUCAAAGCCCAUUCUUCCUUUAUAUCAAAGUUUAUCCCAUCACCAUAUAGAAAUGGAAAUUCUCUUCUAAUUCUUAAAUAGGUUAUAGUUACCAUGGGAGUAUUCUCCCCCUUGCUCUGACUCAAGCCACAUGCUGAAGAUGAUGUGUUACGAAUAAGGCUGAGACCAGGAGACUGGGCUUCUGGGCUCAGCUCUGUUUCUAACUAGCAAGUUUGCACACUGUCUCUGUAGGUCUCACACCUUUGUCCCUGUGGAUCAUUUUCAGAGCUAUAUUCUAUAAGUUUGAGGACAAUUAUUAUGGCUCCUUUUAUAUUAGUAUCUACUGUAUGCUCAGCACUUGAUAGGUUAUCUCUAGUACUUAAACUAGGAUACAGAUUGUCUCCAAUUUAGAAGUGAAAAAGCUGAGGCCUGGAGAUUUCAAGCAACAUGCCUAAUACCUCUCAGUCCACAAAAUGGCAAAGCUGAGAUUUCGCCUGAAGUGUGUCUGACUCUAAAGCUCAUGUUCUUGCCAUCUUACCAGCUGCCUCAUCCUCAUCUAUAGCCUCAUG
rnacentral:lncRNA from 1 species